CCUACGGGAGGCAGCAGUGGGGAAUAUUGCACAAUGGGGGAAACCCUGAUGCAGCGAUGCCGCGUGAGUGAAGAAGUAAUUCGGUAUGUAAAGUUCUAUCAGCAGGGAAGAAAAUGACGGUACUAGAGUAAGAAGCCCCGGCUAAUGACGGUACAGCAGACGCGGGAAUACGGAGGGGGCAAGCUCUAUCCGGAUUUACUGGGUGUAACGGGAACGUAGGCGGCAGAGCAAGGCUGGAGUGAAAGGCGGGGGCUCAACCCCCGAACUGCUCUGGAUACUGUCCGGCUGGAGUGCAGGAGAGGUAAGUAGAAUUCCAGGUGUAGCGGUGAAAUGCGUAGAUAUUAGGAGGAACACCAGUGGCGAAGGCGGCUUACUGGAC
rnacentral:rRNA from 1 species